rnacentral:rRNA from 1 species
AGCGAACGCUGGCGGCAGGCCUAACACAUGCAAGUCGAACGCCCCGCAAGGGGAGUGGCAGACGGGUGAGUAACACGUGGGAACCUUCCCAACAGUACGGAAUAGCCCAGGGAAACUUGGAGUAAUACCGUAUAUUCCCGUGAGGGGAAAGAUUUAUCGCUGUUGGAUGGGCCCGCGUCGGAUUAGCUAGUUGGUGGGGUAAUGGCCCACCAAGGCGACGAUCCGUAGCUGGUUUGAGAGAAUGACCAGCCACACUGGGACUGAGACACGGCCCAGACUCCUACGGGAGGCAGCAGUGGGGAAUCUGGGACAAUGGGCGCAAGCCUGAUCCAGCCAUGCCGCGUGAGUGACGAAGGCCUUAGGGUUGUAAAGCUCUUUUGCCGGGGACGAUAAUGACGGUACCCGGAGAAUAAGUCCCGGCUAACUUCGUGCCAGCCGCCGCAGUAAGAC